AAGUUGUAUUGGGUUUUGUUAAGUUGUAUUGGGUUUUAUUAAGUGGUAUUGGGUUCUGUUAAGUUGUAUUGGGUUUUAUUAAGUUGUAUUGGGUUCUGUUAAGUUGUAUUGGGUUUUAUGAAGUUGUAUUGUUUUUUAAAUUGUAUUGGGGUUUGUUAAGUUGUAUUGGGAUUAAUUACGUUGUGUUGGGUUUUAUUAAGUUGUAUUGGGUUAUGUUUAGUUGUAUUGGGUUUUGUUAAGUUGUAUUGGGUUUUAUUAAGUGGUAUUGGGUUCUGUUAAGUUGUAUUGGGUUGUAUUAAGUUGAAUUGGGUUUUGUUAAGUUGUAUUUGUUUUUUAAGUUGUAUUGGGUUUUAUUAAGUUGUAUUGGGUUUUAUUAAGUUGUAUUGGGUUUUAUUAAGUUGUAUUGGGUUUUGUUUAGUUGUAUUGGGUUUUAUGAAGUUGUAUUGGGUUUUGUUAAG
rnacentral:lncRNA from 1 species